rnacentral:tRNA from 1 species
GGCCCGCUAGCUCAAUAUGGCAGAGCAGGGGACUCUUAAUCCCUUGGUUACAGGUUCGAGUCCUGUGCGGGUCA